rnacentral:rRNA from 1 species
UACGUAGGGGGCGAGCGUUGUCCGGAGUUACUGGGCGUAAAGGGCGUGCAGGCGGUGCGGUAAGUUUAGAAGUGACAGUAUCCGGCUUAACUGGAUAAGGCCUCUGAAAACUGCCGGACUUGAGGGCCAGAGAGGGACAUAGAAUUCCGGGUGGAGUGGUGAAAUAGCAUAGAUAUCCGGAGGAAUACCAAAGGCGAAGGCGAGUGUCCUGGCUGGCAACUGACGCUGAGGCGCGAAAGCUAGGGGAGCGAACAGG